GAACGCUGGCGGCGUGCCUAAUACAUGCAAGUCGAGCGAACAGACGAGGAGCUUGCUCCUCUGACGUUAGCGGCGGACGGGUGAGUAACACGUGGAUAACCUACCUAUAAGACUGGGAUAACUUCGGGAAACCGGAGCUAAUACCGGAUAAUAUAUUGAACCGCAUGGUUCAAUAGUGAAAGACGGUUUUGCUGUCACUUAUAGAUGGAUCCGCGCCGCAUUAGCUAGUUGGUAAGGUAACGGCUUACCAAGGCAACGAUGCGUAGCCGACCUGAGAGGGGUGUCCGCCACACUGGAACUGAGACACGGUCCAGACUCCUACGGGAGGCAGCAGUAGGGAAUCUUCCGCAAUGGGCGAAAGCCUGACGGAGCAACGCCGCGUGAGUGAUGAAGGUCUUCGGAUCGUAAAACUCUGUUAUUAGGGAAGAACAAAUGUGUAAGUAACUAUGCACGUCUUGACGGUACCUAAUCAGAAAGCCACGGCUAACUACGUG
rnacentral:rRNA from 1 species